rnacentral:rRNA from 1 species
AUUAUUGGAGGUAGAGCACUGUUUGGACGAGGGGCCCCUCUCGGGUUACCGAAUUCAGACAAACUCCGAAUGCCAAUUAAUUUAACUUGGGAGUCAGAACAUGGGUGAUAAGGUCCGUGUUCGAAAGGGAAACAGCCCAGACCACCAGCUAAGGUCCCAAAAUAUAUGUUAAGUGGAAAAGGAUGUGGCGUUGCCCAGACAACUAGGAUGUUGGCUUAGAAGCAGCCAUCAUUUAAAGAGUGCGUAAUAGCUCACUAGUCGAGUGACACUGCGCCGAAAAUGUACCGGGGCUAAACAUA